GACUUCCAAUGCAUUCCCAUGCCUCUGAUGCAAGUUCAGUUCCACAUGCAUAUUAGUCAUAACAACUGCAAAUGGGAGGAAGCAAUAAAACUUAAGUGAACUUGUCGUGUGAUUAAGUAUAAGAGAGUACUCUUCUUAAUAACAAUAGUAGCCUUUCUUAUGCUCAAAUAUGUAUGAUAUAAAUUGUGUAUGGGAUAUUUUCAGGGGAUUUUGCUGUCUGGACUCCCAAUAUAAGGGUGUAAGGGCGUAAAUAAGGGAGCCACUCGAGCUUGAUUUUCAAAAUUUAUCAAACUUUAAACUCUUUAAUAGUAAGCUGAACCGAAUUUGAAUAUUAUGAUUGCGAUUUUAACUGAAUAUGUAUAUGUUAUAGAAUUUUGAAUAUUCAAACCCAUAUUUUUUUUCUAUAUGUUUAAGUUGUUUUAUGGUCCUAAAAUCUCGGUAAGAUCGGUGUCUAUUAGUAAAUUUUGUAGGAAGUUAAAGAAAAUAGUUUAUUAGAAUCUGAUUUUUUUUCUAUUAUUUUUAAUUUCUUAAUUUUAUAAAGGAAAAUUCAAUUCUUGGAGAUGAGAUUUUAUUAGCUUAACCUUUUUUUUUUUUUUUUGUAAUUAUAUCAUUCAUUGACUUUUUCCAUAAUAAGACAAUAAUGCAUUCUUUUGUUUUUUUUUUACAAAAAAGAAAACAAUUCAUUCGAUAAUCACAUUGUCCGGCUUUGCUUGUUCAGGCAUUUGGCGAAUAUGCGCCACAUUGUAUCUGCCAAUGUUGUAAACUUGUAAUUAGGGGCUGUUUCUGGUGGGUCUGGGUAAGUUUGAAAUACAAUAAUCGAAUCAAAUCUAAAGGGGUGGUUUGAAAAAUAUUAAAUUCAAAUUAAAUUAUAAAAAAAUUCAAAUCAAACUAAAUUUUUAGUGGCGGUUUGGUUUGGUUUGAUUCGAUUCGGCGAUUUGAAAUAAGAAAAAUUAAACUUCCUCAUUUAUCUAAUUAAUAAAAAAAAAAGAUUAACAUUACAUGAAAUAUGAAAAAUGAAUUAAUAAAAAUUAUGCCAUAAAAUACACAUGAUUUUAAAUAACUAUUAAAAUUUUUUAAAUUAAUUUUUUAUAUGUAUAUUCUUAAUAUAGUACAAAAAAUGUUAUAUAUUCAAUAAGAUAAUAAUUAAGCAAAUUAUAAAUAUAGAAUUUUAAUUUUAAUUUAAUUACAUCUAUCACUAAAAAUUAUAAAAAAAUAUAGUUUUACACGCAUAUAGCUUGUACAUAUAUAUUAAUCUAAUUUUAUAUGAAUUUUUAACAUUUGAAUAUUUUAUAAAAUAAUAUAUAAUUUAUCUAAUUAACGAAAAAUUAUUAUUUAAUUAUUAUCUAAUAUAGCUAAUCUCAUAAUUUACUAUCCAAUAUAAAUUAAUCAAUACAAAUCAAAUUUUCAUUCAAAAAAAUUGAAUUGAAUUUAAACACACACACACAUAUAUAUAUAUAUAUAACAGUUUGGUUCGAUUUGGGCAAUUUUGACUCUAAAAUCGUAAAUUGAACCAAAAAUUCGGUUUUUAAAUUUUAUAAAAUCAAACCAAAUGAUUAAUUUUUAAAAUCACAAUUUUGAAUCGAUUUAGAUUGGUUUGGAUUGAUUUGGGAGGUUUAAGCAGUUUGACGAACACCUGUACUUGUAGUAAUGUCAUCAAAUUCAACCCUAGAAGUAAUUUAAUAUUUUUAUUAUUUAAAAAAAAAACAAAAGAUUCAUCCAAAUAAUAAUAAUAAUAAUAAUUUAUCAAAUAUGAUUUAUCUUAUUAAUAUCAAAAGUAAAGUUAUAAAAAAAUUUUUAACAACACUGGUUAAUUUUCUAUUUCCACACUUAGCUAGCACAUAUAAUUUGAUAGAAUUUCAAAUGUGUAAUCUUGUAAAAAUUUUAAAUUAUUAUUUCGUCCAAUUAUUUGAUAUGGUAAAUAAAUGUUAAAUGUUUCAAGCUAUAAUAUAAUUAUUUUUCUAAAAAAUAAAUCUGUAAAAAAUAAAAAAGAAUUUUCCACAAAUUAAAACAUUUGUUCAUGCUUUCCAAAGUCAACAAGUCAACUCCUUGCUCUUCCAAGCACUGGGAUGUCCAUCCAUCCAUCCAUCCUCAUUAUGAUAUUCUCUUCUUACUUCCCAGUGAUCUAUUCUCAUCCGUUUCCAUCUCUCCAACAAAAAAAAAAAAAAAAAAAAAUGUCGAAAAAAGCAACUCUCCUCAUUUCCCUUUUCACUUCAAUCCUUCCGCUGUCCAUAAUAUUCUACUUCAAGCCUUUCUCUUUCCUCUCAUCACCAAUUCUUUCAAAGCCUCUUUCACUCUUUAACCACAACGGAAUCAACGGCGCCAUUUCCUUCACCAAAAUCCACCAUCACCACCGUCAUGGACCGAGGUCAACAAAUCUCAGCCAACCAGUGGGUCAAUUUGACGAAAACGACGUCGUAGUAUUGACAGACAAGAAUUUUAGCGAUUUCGUUAAUCAGAAUAAAUAUGUGAUGCUAAAAUUCCAUGCGCCAUGGUGUUAUUGGAGUCGCAAACUGGCACCAGAGUAUGCGGCAGCGGCCACCAUGGUUAAGGGUAGUAAUAAAGCUGUUCUUGCAAAAAUUGAUGCUACUCAUGAAUUGGAGUUGGCAAGGAAGUUCAAGAUUCAUGGGUAUCCUACUAUGUAUUUCUUGGCCGGUGGAGUUCAGAGAAUUCCUUAUUAUGGAGAAAGGACUAGGUGAAUUUAUUUCCUUCUCUAUUGACAAAGAUUUCAAUUUACAAGAAUACAAAUCUUGAUUUUUGUUUUUGUUUUUCUGGUGUAAUGAAAUCUUGAUUGUUUAGUUAAUGAAUAUGCAUCGAUCUUUAAUUAAACUCCCAAAAUUUGUAAGUUUUAUUAUAAUUUGAAAUUUUAAUUCAAUCUCAUCUAGAUUGAAAUUGGAAGAAAAAUUGUACUGCAAUUUUUACCAAAUGCAUUGAUGUUAUUUAACUUUACAACUUUAAUUAAGUGAUAUUCAAACUUUCAUAAGCAACUAUUGUGUCUAUUCUUAUCUUUUAUAUUUAAAAUAUCAAAUUGAUAAAUUGUUAAUAUAAUUUUGAGAGCAAUCAUUUUCACAUUUUUCAACUAUUUAAUAAAUAUUCGAUCAAUCUAAUUUUAUCAGUUAAAAUAUUUAAUAGAAUGAUUUUAUAAGUUAAAAUAUUUAAUAAAUGUAAUUUUAUAAAUUGAAAUAUUAAGUGAGUAAAAAUAAAAGUUGAGGGUGUCAUUACAUUUUUCUUAUAAAGUUUUAAGUGCCAAUUUGUGCAUUGGGCCAUAUUAUUUUAAUUAAUUAGAAAGUAAGAAGGUCAUAUUAGCGCUUUAGCAUAUAUUAAAUUAUUAUUUUAAUUUUUAGAUUUUAGAUUUUGUUAAUUUAAUCAUUAUUCAUAUAUGAGUACGGUUUAGUUUCAAAUCAGAAUGUAAUAAAAAACGCAAUCCUUAGUUUCAGACUAAGAUAAAAUCGUUUGGGUUAAUUUUGGUUUGAAAGCAUGAAAAAAAGAAAAUAAAAAAAUUACAUUUGUGAAAUGUGAAUUGGGUGCAUUACACACUUUUGUUGCACCCAACACUUUAGCAAGUGACCGUUGCUGACUUUGUUUUUUUUCCAAUAUUACUAGUUAUUACUAGUAUUGUAAUUAUUUAUUCAUACUAUAUAUAAAACAAAAAGAAACUGGAAAAAGUUGUUUGGUUCCUAAAUCAAACAUGAUGGAACCGAGACCUGCAAUUUCACAUAUGUGAUCAUGGCUAAUUACUUAAUUAGUAUGAUUAUGCACAAAAUUCACAAAAUUUAAGACUUGUUGGACUAUGGCUGAAAUUUAAGGACCAAAUUAAUAAUAUUUUUCUUAUAAUUUUAACUUAGGAUAAAUUGAAAAUAAAAGUUUUCAGACUAGGGUAAUCAAUACAUUUAUUUAUUUAUUUUUGAAAUGGAAUUAACACAUUUUUAUUUGACCUGCAGGGAUGCUAUUGCAAGUUGGGUGAAUCAGAAAAUAAAUAAUGUUGUUCAAAAUUUGACAACAAGUGGGGAAGCAAAAGAUAUAUUAAGAGAAAAUCAUUAAUAGUUUUGGGAUUUCUUGAAAAUCUUGAGGUAUUUUACAAUUCAUAGCAGGUUUUUUUUGCGUGUAACCACACCCAGUAGUCUAAUCUUCCACAACAUUGGCAGAGUCAAGAUAGUAAGGAGCUUGCAGCUGUCUCAGAAAUGCACUUUGAUGUCAAUUUCUUUCAACCCUCCAAUGGUGAUGUUGCAAAGUUAUUCCACAUUGACGAGCAAUUUAAACGCCCUGCUCUUGUCAUCCUGAAAAAAGAGGACAGAGAUCAUAUUCAUUUUGGUUAUGGUUAGUUUAUCAUUCUAUAGUUUUAGUGUCAAACAGACUUGUAGUAGUUUACCCUUCACCUUGCAUACUGUUCUACUCUUCUUACAGAAGGUGAAUUCACCAGAUCAUCAAUAUCAGACUUUGUUUCUACGUACAAGCUUCCUUCAGUGAUCACUUUCACUCCAGAGGAUGCUACAAAUAUAUUUGAGAAUCCUAUGAAGAAAGUAGGUGUUUUAUGUGAACUUUUUUCUAACAUUAGAAAUUUUUUCUGAUUACAUUAACAUUUCUACUGUUUCGCCGUCAGUUGUGGCUUUUUACUGGUGCAAGAUCAUGGAAUGUUGAAUCGAUAUUCAAGGAGGCAGCAAAUGCUUUCAAAGGAAAGGUGAUUACAAAUGUUCUUAUUGCUUUUUAAUAUAAUGUUAUCCAAAGAAAAUGCAUCCAAUUAACAUUUAAAUUUCGCAUGUCCUUAUUUGCUUUUCAAAAGUUGAAAUCAUAUGCAAUUUUCAGUACAUAAAAAAUUUAAAGCUCAAGCCGAGUUUAGCAGCGUGAGCUUGUCACCAAGCGAGCACUGAAAUGUUUAUGAAUUCGAAAUUUGCAUUUCUUUUAUAACAUCUAUUAAUUAACUUAUAUAUUUGAUAUGAAUUAAUCGGUGGGGUUUUAAAUGCAGCUUCUUUUUGUUCAUGUGGAAACUUGGAAUGGAGGUUCUACUGAAAGAAGACUUGCUUGUGAAUUUGGCAUCCCUGAUUGUGAUAGUGCCCCAAGAGUGAGUCCUACACACCAUUCUUCUUCUGCAACUGCAUGAAUUACAAGCUGAGUUAAUUACACUAAAAUUUUCUUGGUGCAGAUUGUAGCUUAUCACACAGAAAAUGGUGAUGCCGAGAAACAUAUAUAUCAUGGUGAAUUGACCUUAUCUGGUAUUAAGGUACUUGGGUUAUUUUCUCCUCUUGUUAUGGUAUUUCUUACUAUAAUUUUGAAUUCAACUCAAAAUUACAGAAUUACUAACUGAGCAAUGCGUUAAUAUAUAUAACCUGAUAUUGUGUUCUAUGUCGAGGUGUAGUCAUUUGCAGAGAAGUUCCUGGAAGGCGAGUUUCCAAGCAAAUUAGGUUCAGAAACAAAGACAGGAAUUAGACUUCCAAUGCAUUCCCAAGCCUCUGAUGCAAGUUCAGUUCCACAUGCAUGUUAGUCAUAACAACUGCAAAUGGGAGGAAGCAAUAAAACUUAAGUGAACUUGUGUGAUAAGUAUAAGAGAGUACUCUUCUUAAUAACAAUAGUAGCCUUUCUUUCUUAUUCUCAAAUAUGUAUGAUAUAAAUUGUGUAUGGGAUAUUUUCAGGGGAUUUUGCUGUCCGGACUCCCA
rnacentral:lncRNA from 1 species